UACGGGGGGAGCAAGCGUUGUUCGGAUUUACUGGGCGUAAAGGGCGCGUAGGCGGCCAGCACAAGUCAGUUGUGAAAUCUCCGGGCUUAACUCGGAAAGGUCAACUGAUACUGUGCGGCUAGAGUGCAGAAGGGGCAACUGGAAUUCUUGGUGUAGCGGUGAAAUGCGUAGAUAUCAAGAGGAACACCUGCGGCGAAGGCGGGUUGCUGGGCCGACACUGACGCUGAGGCGCGAAAGCCAGGGGAGCGAACGGG
rnacentral:rRNA from 1 species